GAUGAACGCUAGCUACAGGCUUAACACAUGCAAGUCGAGGGGUAACGAGAGGAAAGCUUGCUUUCCUUGUCGACGACCGGCGCACGGGUGAGUAACGCGUAUCCAACCUGCCCCCAACUAAGGAAUAAACUUGCGAAAGUAAGACUAAUACCUUAUAAUUUCCUCAGAUGUCAUCUGACGAGGAAUAAAGAUUUAUCGGUUGUGGAUGGGGAUGCGUCUGAUUAGCUUGUUGGCGGGGUAACGGCCCAACAAGGCAACGAUCAGGAGGGGUUGUGAGAGGAAGGUCCCCCACAUUGGAACUGAGACACGGUCCAAACUCCUACGGGAGGCAGCAGUGAGGAAUAUUGGUCAAUGGGCGAAAGCCUGAACCAGCCAAGUAGCGUGCAGGAUGACGGCCCUAUGGGUUGUAAACUGCUUUUAUACAGGAAUAAAGUUAGCCACGUGUGGUUAUUUGUAGGUACUGUAUGAAUAAGGACCGGCUAAUUCCGUGCCAGCCGCCGCGGUAA
rnacentral:rRNA from 1 species